CCUAACGGCUGAACCAGCAACUUGGAGGAACGAAAAACCGAAGUCAUGAGCGGUUACCAUGUGGAUAUAUGUGGGGCAUAAACUGCUAAUAGUUCGAAGUAAGUUUUGAUAAUGACAUUAUUUAUUUCCAGGUCUUGACGAACUCAUGUGCCAGCAGUCGCGGUAAGACAUGGAAGGCAAGCGUUAUUCAUCUUUAUUAGGUUUAAAGGGUACCUAGACGGCAGAUAUUAGCUAAUCUUGAAAAAGAUUAUGUACUUUAUAGGCUAGAGUUUUAUGUGAGGAGAUUUAGAGCGGUUAGGGUAGGGAUAAUAUCUGUUGAUCCAAUUUAGAAACUGGUUUAGGUGUAGACAAGGUCUUAUGUAAAAACUGACGUUGAGGGACGAAGGCUCAAAAGCAGAAACAGGAUUAGUUAACCAAGUACUUCAGAGCAGACAAUAAUGAAUGUCAUAUGUAAGAUACAUUUUAUGUAUAAACGAAAGCGUAAACAUUCCACCUCAAGAGUAAUAUGGCAACAUAUAAACUGAAAUCAUUAGGCCGUUUCUGGAACUCGUAGUGAAGUAUGUUAUUUAAUUUGAUGAUCCACAAAAAACCUUACCACUAGAGUGAAUAGUUAUAUACAUAAGUAUAUUUCGGACAAGUGUUGCACGGCUGUCUACAGUUGAUAUCGUGAGAUUUGACUUUUCAGAAAUCAACAAAAUCCCUAACUUUAAUUAAAUUAAAGUGCUAAUUUCGGUACAUGAAACCUUACCUGAAAUUAAUAUAUGGGUACAUGACAAGUCAUCAUGGCCAAACAUACAAAUUG
rnacentral:rRNA from 1 species